rnacentral:tRNA from 1 species
GCCGAAGUAGCUCAGUUGGCAGAGCAACCGAUUCGUAAUCGGUAGGUCGCGAGUUCAACUCUCGCCUUCGGCU